CUGCAGAAGGACCAUGAAGCUGAUGUUGACCCUUCUCAUCUUUGCCAUUUCUGGCCUUUUGGUGCCAGACAGUACAGCUUUGCCAAAUGGUGAGGCAUUUGGAGUUGCCUCAAAGGAAGCUCAGCGCUCGGACGGAAGUGCUGAAGACGCCGAAGCCCGUCUAUCUGUGGCCUGUGUGAACAACAACUGUGCAGUUUCACUGCUGAGAAAAUAAGGGCAAACCCCGGGAAAAUGCAUUCGGCACUGAAACGCAGCCACGGCUACUUCGGUCCGUUUCUUUUCGGAAGAAGCAGCUCAGUUUCUGAACCGCAGCUGCAAACGACGCCGGGCGGAAUAAACUCCGUGAGUGCACUUUUCGGAUGGUGGUGAAAUAAUGGAUAAAUACAUGAAGGCGGAAUUAUACACCUUCACCAAUUUCCCUCGCCCAAGCUAGCCCUUUGGGACAACUGGGGCGUUAGGUGCGCUGCAUGGCAAAUAUUAAGUCAUAAAAAGUCAACGCGCAUAUCUUUUAGCUAAGGAUUGAAGAAGUUACGAGACGUGUUUGUCGCCGUAGUCACUACGCGUCUCAAAUUGAACUGCAGUGCCCUGGCACGUUUCUCCGAGAUCAAGGUCGCCGUGCAUGGUGAUUCAAAACGUUUUAAUAAUGAAUGAGAAUUCCGCUUCAUCUGCAAGGUCCAUCGUGGUGGCUAAGAGAUGCGUUCAUCACUUGAAUC